rnacentral:ncRNA from 1 species
CAUUGAUGAGAAUGCAAUGCCCCGAAAACCCAAGGUUUCCUCCGCAAGGUUCGUCCACGGAGGGUGAGUCAGGGCCUAAGAUCAGGCCGAAAGGCGUAGUCAAUGGACAACAUGUCAAUAUUCCUGUACUGGUAAAAGUUUUAUAUGGAUAAUAUAAAUGUGUUUGGAAGCAAUUUUUUUAUAGAUAAUAUAUUAAAACCGCAGGGGGGGGGGGAGAUUGAUCGAUCUAAUCUAACUACCUCCGUCACAUAAUAUAUUGCCCUAUGAGGGGAUUUGAUCUCUCCUAAGACAAUGUAUAUACAUUGUCCUCCCCUCCUGGUGGCUAUAUAUUAAUGAAUAGAGAGAGUAUAUUUAUGAU